rnacentral:snRNA from 1 species
AUAAAUCUCUUUGCCUUUUGGCUUAGAUCAAGUGUAGUAUCUGUUCUUUUCAGUGUAACAACUGGAAUGUCCUCAACGAGGGCGUUACGCUAAGUUACAGCCCACUUUUUGGAACCUUAGGGAGAAGAAGGCUCGGAAUCGUCGCUGGGUGGCGCAUCGGCAAUACGGAGCUACCUGGAUGCAGGCCUG